AUUGAACGCUGGCGGCAGGCUUAACACAUGCAAGUCGAGCGGAGAUGAGGUGCUUGCACCUUAUCUUAGCGGCGGACGGGUGAGUAAUGCGUAGGAAGCUACCCGAUAGAGGGGGAUACCAGUUGGAAACGACUGUUAAUACCGCAUAAUGUCUACGGACCAAAGUGUGGGACCUUCGGGCCACAUGCUAUCGGAUGCGCCUACGUGGGAUUAGCUAGUUGGUGAGGUAAUGGCUCACCAAGGCGACGAUCCCUAGCUGGUUUGAGAGGAUGAUCAGCCACACUGGAACUGAGACACGGUCCAGACUCCUACGGGAGGCAGCAGUGGGGAAUAUUGGACAAUGGGCGCAAGCCUGAUCCAGCCAUGCCGCGUGUGUGAAGAAGGCCUUCGGGUCGUAAAGCACUUUCAGUAGGGAGGAAGCGUUGUGUGUUAAUAGUACACAGCGUUGACGUUACCUACAGAAGAAGCACCGGCUAACUCUGUGCCAGCCGCCGCCGUAAUAC
rnacentral:rRNA from 1 species